GAUGAACGCUGGCGGCGUGCCUAAUACAUGCAAGUCGAGCGAACAGAUGAGGAGCUUGCUCCUCUGACGUUAGCGGCGGACGGGUGAGUAACACGUGGAUAACCUACCUAUAAGGCUGGGAUAACUUCGGGAAACCGGAGCUAAUACCGGAUAAUAUAUUGAACCGCAUGGUUCAAUAGUGAAAGACGGUUUUGCUGUCACUUAUAGAUGGAUCCGCGCCGCAUUAGCUAGUUGGUAAGGUAACGGCUUACCAAGGCGACGAUGCGUAGCCGACCUGAGAGGGUGAUCGGACACACUGGAACUGAGACACGGUACAGACUCCUACGGGAGGCAGCAGUAGGGAAUCUUCCGCAAUGGGCGAAAGCCUGACGGAGCAACGCCGCGUGAGUGAUGAAGGUCUUCGGAUCGUAAAACUCUGUUAUUAGGGAAGAACAAAUGUGUAAGUAACUAUGCACGUCUUGACGGUACCUAAUCAGAAAGCCACGGCUAACUACGUG
rnacentral:rRNA from 1 species